rfam:Schistosoma margrebowiei strain Zambia genome assembly, scaffold: SMRZ_contig0012564
AUCCAGAUAACGAGUCUCAAAUGGGACGAAACGCGCAUCCUGGAU